UACGGGGGGGGCAAGCGUUGUUCGGAAUUACUGGGCGUAAAGGGCUCGUAGGCGGCCAACUAAGUCGGAUGUGAAAUCCCCAGGCUUAACCUGGGAACUGCAUCCGAUACUGGAUGGCUUGAAUCCGGGAGAGGGAUGCGGAAUUUCGGGUGUAGCGGUGAAAUGCGCAGAUAUCCGAAGGAACACCGGUGGCGAAGGCGGCUUCCUGGACCGACACUGACGCUGAGGCGCGAAAGCUAGGGGAGCAAACGGG
rnacentral:rRNA from 1 species